rnacentral:misc_RNA from 1 species
GAUGAAGAACGCAGCGAAAUGCGAUAAGUAAUGUGAAUUGCAGAAUUCAGUGAAUCAUCGAAUCUUUGAACGCACAUUGCGCCCCCUGGUAUUCCGGGGGGCAUGCCUGUUCGAGCGUCAUUUCACCACUCAAGCCUCGCUUGGUAUUGGGCAACGCGGUCCGCCGCGUGCCUCAAAUCGUCCGGCUGGGUCUUCUGUCACCUAAGCGUUGUGGAAACUAUUCGCUAAAGGGUGUUCGGGAGGCUACGCCGUAAAACAACCCCAUUUCUAAGGUUGACCUCGGAUCAGGUAGGGAUACCCGCUGAACUUAAGCAUAUCAAUAAGCGGAGGA